rnacentral:tRNA from 1 species
UUAAUUGAAACCAAAGAAGAGGUAAAUCACUGUUAAUGAUCUAACUGAAAAAUUUUUCCAAUUAAA